rnacentral:rRNA from 1 species
GAUGAACGCUGGCGGCGUGCCUAAUACAUGCAAGUCGAGCGAACGGACGAGAUUCUUGCUUCUCUGAUGUUAGCGGCGGACGUGUGAGUAACACGUGGAUAACCUACCUAUAAGACUGGGAUAACUUCGUGAAACCGGUGCUAAUUCCGGAUGAUAUUUUGAACCGCAUGGUUCAAAAGUUUAAGCCGGUCUUGCUGUCACUUCUAGAUGUAUCCGCGCUGCAUUAGCUAGUUGGUAAGGUAACGGCUUACCAAGGCAACGAUGCAUAGCCGACCUGAGAGGGUGAUCGGCCACACUGGAACUGAGACACGGUCCAGACUCCUACGGGAGGCAGCAGUAGGGAAUCUUCCGCAAUGGGCGAAAGACUGAAGGAGCAACGCCGCGUGAGUGAUGAAGGGCUUCGGAUCGUAAAACUCUGUUAGUAGGGAAGAACAUAUGUGUAAGUAACUGUGCACAUCUUGACGGUACCUAAUCAGAAAGCAACGGCUAACUACGUG